rnacentral:ncRNA from 1 species
GGAAUGACUGGGCGUAAAGGGCAUGUAGGUGGUGAAUCGGGUUGAAAGUGAAAGUCGCCAAAAAGUGGCGGAAUGCUCUCGAAACCAAUUCACUUGAGUGAGACAGAGGAGAGUGGAAUUUCGUGUGUAGGGGUGAAAUCUGUAGAUCUUGCAUUGAUUUUUAUGCGUGGACAAUUUAUUGGAUUUUAUACUGAUAUACAUUUAUUUUUAAAAUCAGUCUGAAUGUGACUCGAAAUUUCGGGAUUAAAAACAGUUCAGACCGCACC